rnacentral:tRNA from 1 species
GCCUGGCUGGCUCAGUAGGAAGAGCGUGUGACUCGUGAUCAUGUGUGGUUGUGAGUUCAAGCUUCAUGUUGGGUG